rnacentral:rRNA from 1 species
UGCCCUAGUAACGGCGAGUGAAGCGGCAACGGCUCAAAUUUGAAAUCUGGCCCUAGGCCCGAGUUGUAAUUUGCAGAGGAUGCUUUUGGCAAAGCGCUUACCGAGUCCCCUGGAACGGGGCGCCACAGAGGGUGAGAGCCCCGUAUGGUAUGACGCCGAGCCUCUGUAAAGCUCCUUCGACGAGUCGAGUAGUUUGGGAAUGCUGCUCUAAAUGGGAGGUAAAUUUCUUCUAAAGCUAAAUACCGGCCAGAGACCGAUAGCGCACAAGUAGAGUGAUCGAAAGAUGAAAAGCACUUUGAAAAGAGGGUUAAAUAGCACGUGAAAUUGUUGAAAGGGAAGCGCUCGUGACCAGACUUGCGCCGGGCGGAUCAUCCAGCGUUCUCGCUGGUGCACUCCGCCCGGCUCAGGCCAGCAUCGGUUUUCGCCGGGGGACAAAAGCUUCGGGAACGUGGCUCCCUUCGGGGAGUGUUAUAGCCCGUUGUUUAAUACCCCGGCGGGGACCGAGGACCGCGCUUCGGCAAGGAUGCUGGCGUAAUGGUCAUCAGCGACCCGUCUUGAAACACGGACCGAGGAGUCAAGCAUUAGUGCGAGUGUUUGGGUGUAAAACCCGCACGCGUAAUGAAAGUGAACGUAGGUGAGAGCUUCGGCGCAUCAUCGACCGAUCCUGAUGUUUUCGGAUGGAUUUGAGUAGGAGCAUUAACGCUUGGACCCGAAAGAUGGUGAACUAUACUUGAAUAGGGUGAAGCCA